rnacentral:misc_RNA from 1 species
GAUGAAGAACGUAGUGAAAUGCGAUAAGUAGUGUGAAUUGCAGAAUUCAGUGAAUCAUCGAAUCUUUGAACGCACAUUGCGCCCUUUGGUAUUCCUUAGGGCAUGCCUGUUCGAGCGUCAUUUACACCUUCAAGCUCUGCUUGGUGUUGGGCGUCUGUCCUGCCCCUCGGGGCGUGGACUCGCCUUAAAUCUAUUGGCGGCCGGUACCGUGGCUUUGAGCGCAGCACAUCAGCGACCUCAUCGCCGGAGCGUAUCGACUCCCAGAAGCCCAUUUUCUAUGUUUUGACCUCGGAUCAGGUAGGGAUACCCGCUGAACUUAAGCAUAUCAAUAAGCGGAGGA